rnacentral:lncRNA from 9 species
UUUUUUUUUUUUUUUUGUCUUUUUGCUAUUUCUUGGGCCACUCCCACAGCAUAUGGAGGUUCCCAGGCCAGGGGUCAAAUCAGAGCUGCAGCUGCUGGCCUAUACCACAGCCACAGCAACACGAUAUCCAAGCCACAUCUGUGACCCAUGCCGCAGCUUGAGUCUAUGCUGGAUCCUUAACCCACUGAGCGGGGCCAGGGAUCAAACCCACAUCUUCACAGAGACUACGUUCUGUUCUUAACCUGCUGAGCCACAAUGGGAAUUCCCAUAUUUGGAUUUUAAAAGAUAUUGUAAAUAGUGUAAAGCUUUAAGAAAAGUGAAAAAUAAAUGUUAAUGCAACUAUGUUCAGGAUUUUUAAUUCAUGAAGUACCCCUAUAUUCCUAAAAUGAUGCCUAAUAAAAAGAUAUUUAUUUCAGAAUCAAAAAACCAUUAAUUACCUUCAUAAAUAUGAAACAUCCCUGCAAUCUAAUAUUAACAGCUACUUUUAUGAACUGGAAAAAAUACUUAUUUUUAGAAUAGGUAUAAAGUUGUUUGAACAAUGCAAAUAUUGGGUAUGUAAAAACAGAUGAAGAGGCAGCAGAAAGAAAAUACACUGAAGGUUGGCAGAGAUUUCCUCUAGAUAGCGCUGUAUUGGUUAGCGAUCUUUAGCUGCAAACACCAGGGACCAAUUCAGACUAAAUGGAACGCAGGGGAUUUUAUUACAAUCCUGAGCGCUCAGGGGACCGAAAGCUCAGAAGCCAAGCUAUUAAAUAAGUGAGAACUAAGGCAACUUCAGGAGAGUCCUCACCCAGGAAUGCCACUCAGGUGCCACCACCAGCAUCCAUGAGCUCCAGCAUUUAUAAUUUUCAUCCCUUUCCUCUAACCCUUAGGAAGGAAUACCAUCUAUGCACCCAGGUCACAGAGCCACCUCCAGAGCAAGGGGACAACAAGGCCCAUGCUUCACAAUCCAUCCAGACUCUACCCUCUGGGGAAAGAUGAAAUCCCCCAAGAAGAGGUCAGAGGGCUUAACGGGAGGAGUGGGUGAUGGAGAGUUUAAAAUAAAAAGUCUGGAGUUCCCAUUGUGGCACAGCAGAAACGAAUCCAACUAGUAACCAUGAGGUCACGGGUUCGAUCCCUGGACAAGCUCAAUGGGUUAAGGAUCCAGCGUUGCCGUGAGCUGUGUGGUGUAGGUCAUACACUUGGCUCAGAUCUGGCGUUGCUGUGACUGUGGUGCAGGCUGACAGCUGUAGCUCCAACUCGACCCCUAGCCCGGGAACCACCAUAUGCCAUGGGUGCAGCCCUAAAAAGCAAAAUAUGAAAAUAGAAAUUAAAAAAAAUUAAAAGUCUGGGGAGUUCCCACUGUGACUCAGCAGAAACGAAUCCAACUAGUAUCCACGAGGAUUUGGGUUUGAUCCCUGGCUUCGCUCAGUGGGUCAGGGAUCCAGCAUUGCUGUGGUGUAGGUCACAGACACAGCUCAGAUCCCAUGUUGCUGUGGCUCUGGCACGCAUAGGCCAGCAACUGUCACUCCAAUUCAACUCCUAGCCCAGAAACUUCCAUAUGCCGCUAGUGCAGCCCUAAAAAAAGGCAAAAAAAAAAAAAAAGCCUGCUUCAGUGAAUUAGGACCGAUUUUUUUUUUUCUAUUAAGUACCUUCUUUGCUGGCUAGAUUUCUUACUGUGACAAUAUGUUAUUUCUAUCACAAUAAUUAGGUUCUUGGGAGUUCCCAUUGUGGCUCAGCAGGUUAAGGACCCAACAUGGUUUCCAUGAGGAUGUGGGUUCAAUCCCUUGCCUCAUUCAGUGAGUUAAGGAUCCAGUGUUGCCACAAGCUACAGCAUAGGUGCAUAUGUGGCUUGGAUCUGGUGUUGCCAUGGCUGUGACAUAGGCCUCAGCUGCAGUUCUGAUUCAACCCCUAGCCAAGGAAACUUCCAUUUGCUGCAAGUGCAGCCAUUAAAAAAACAAAAAAAAACAAAAAAAACAAAAAAACAUAAUUAUGUUCUUCUUUAAACACACAAUGGACACUGCUGGUUGCCCAUCAAAAUGCACUC